rnacentral:rRNA from 1 species
GAUGAACGCUGGCGGCGUGCCUAACACAUGCAAGUCGAGCGAAGCGCUUAAAUUGGAUUUCUUCGGAAUGACGAUUUUUGUGACUGAGCGGCGGACGGGUGAGUAACGCGUGGGUAACCUGCCUCAUACAGGGGGAUAACAGUUAGAAAUGACUGCUAAUACCGCAUAAGACCACGGCUUCGCAUGAAGUGGUGGUAAAAACUCCGGUGGUAUGAGAUGGACCCACGUCUGAUUAGCUAGUUGGUAAGGUAACGGCUUACCAAGGCGACGAUCAGUAGCCGACCUGAGAGGGUGACCGGCCACAUUGGGACUGAGACACGGCCCAGACUCCUACGGGAGGCAGCAGUGGGGAAUAUUGCACAAUGGGGGAAACCCUGAUGCAGCGACGCCGCGUGAAGGAUGAAGUAUUUCGGUAUGUAAACUUCUAUCAGCAGGGAAGAAAGUGACGGUACCUGACUAAGAAGCC